AUUGAACGCUGGCGGCAUGCCUUACACAUGCAAGUCGAACGGUAAUAGGUCUUCGGAUGCUGACGAGUGGCGAACGGGUGAGUAAUACAUCGGAACGUGCCUAGUAGUGGGGGAUAACUACUCGAAAGAGUGGCUAAUACCGCAUGAGAUCUACGGAUGAAAGCAGGGGAUCGCAAGACCUUGUGCUACUAGAGCGGCCGAUGGCAGAUUAGGUAGUUGGUGGGAUAAAAGCUUACCAAGCCGACUAUCUGUAGCUGGUCUGAGAGGACGAUCAGCCACACUGGGACUGAGACACGGCCCAGACUCCUACGGGAGGCAGCAGUGGGGAAUUUUGGACAAUGGGCGCAAGCCUGAUCCAGCAAUGCCGCGUGCAGGAUGAAGGCCUUCGGGUUGUAAACUGCUUUUGUACGGAACGAAAAGCCCCGGGUUAAUACCCUGGGGUCAUGACGGUACCGUAAGAAUAAGCACCGGCUAACUACGUGCCAGCAGCCGCCGUAA
rnacentral:rRNA from 1 species